rnacentral:rRNA from 1 species
UACGUAGGUGGCAAGCGUUGUCCGGAUUUACUGGGCGUAAAGAGCGCGCAGGCGGUCGUAUAAGUCGAAUGUGAAAGCCCCCGGCUCAACUGGGGAGGGUCAUUCGAUACUGUUCGACUCGAAGGCAGGAGAGGGAAGUGGAAUUCCGGGUGUAGUGGUGAAAUGCGUAGAUAUCGAGAGGAACACCGAUUGCGAAGGCAGCUCGCUAAACUUAUAUUGACGCUGAGGCACGAAAGCGUGGGGAUCAAACAGG